CAUGGAUAACUGUGGUAAUUCUAGAGCUAAUACAUGCACAAAAGCCGCGACUUUUAACUAAGAAGCGGUGCGUUUAUUAGACCAAGACCAAUGGGUGCUUGCAUCCUUUAUAUGUGGUGACUCUGGAUAACUAAUGGCCCAAAAGCCAUGAUGCUGACCCUAUGGCCCGUGGGCAACCACACAGCGCCGAGGGCAAAUCAUUCGAGUGUCUGAUCUAUCAACUGUCGAUGGUAGAUUAUAUGUUUACCAUGGUUGUAACGGGUAACGGGGAGUUAGGGCUCGACUCCGGAGAGCAAGCCUGAGAAACGGCUAGCACAUCCAAGGAAGGCAGCAGGCGCGCAAAUUACUCAAUGCCAGCUCGGCGAAGUAGUGAAGAAAAAUAACGAUGUAGGUUCUUAUUAUAGGAUCUACAAUUGGAAUGAGUACACCGUAAAUACGUUAACGAGUACCAAUUGGAGGGCAAGUCUGGUGCCAGCAGCCGCGGUAAUUCCAGCUCCAAUAGCGUAUAUUAAAGUUGCUGCGGUUAAAAAGCUCGUAGUUGGAUUUAAGACCUAUGUGCUAGCAAAGCUGCACUAUUCAACGUCUAUUGGUUUGGCCAGUGAUUCGUUGCUGCGUCCCAGAUCAUAGUCGGGUGUUAGCUAUUUGCUGGCUGGUCGUUUCGUCACUAUUUAUUAGGACGAAGCAGGCUGUAUUAUUGGUUGUAACCGUCUUCAAACGCGCGUUACACAUAAACACAAUAAUCAGCGUGUUUACCUUGAGAAAAUUAGAGUGCUCAAAGCAGACAUGGCGGGUCGUAAGGCUUGCAUUUAUGUUUGAAUAAUGUUGCAUGGAAUAAUAGAAUAUGGCCUCGGUUCUAUUCUGUUGGUCUUGUAGAACAACAAACAAGUUCACGAAUUCAAUUCAUGUUGUUAACAUGGUGGGUUGUCGUUGGCUAUAAUCUUGGUUAAAUUUCUAACUUUGUGUUAUCGUGUCCACGUUGAUACGCAUCGCGAGUUAAAAUUUCUCCAUUUAUGGUUAUUUCAACGUACAAUCACUCGAAAAGCCAUGUUAGCUAACACGAAUUCGUGAAUCGAGGCAAUGGUUAAUAGGGACAGACGGGGGCAUUCGUACUGCUUCGCUAGAGGUGAAAUUCUUAGACCGAAGCAAGACGAACUAAAGCGAAAGCAUUUGCCUAGAAUGUUCUCAUUAAUCAAGAACGAAAGUUAGAGGUUCGAAGGCGAUCAGAUACCGCCCUAGUUCUAACCAUAAACGAUGCCAACUAGCAAUCAGGCUGAGUUUUUUAAAAUACAAAUGACUCGCCUGGCGGCUUCUCGGGAAACCAAAGUUUUUCGGUUCCGGGGGAAGUAUGAUUGCAAAGUUGAAACUUAAAGGAAUUGACGGAAGGGCACCACCAGGGGUGGAGCCUGCGGCUUAAUUUGACUCAACACGGGGAAACUUACUAGAUUAGAACGCUGGAAUGAUUGACAGAUUAAUAGCUCUUUCUUGAUUCAGCGAGUGGUGGUGCAUGGCCGUUCUUGAUUCGUAGAAUGAUUCGUCUGCUUAAUUGCGAUAACGAGUGAGACCUCGACCUACUAACUAGUUUUGUUCAUCAUUUGGGAUAUCAAACGCUUUGCGUGUUUAGCUUGAUAUGGUCAUGUAGCAAUAUGUGUUCGUACUGAGUUGACGUGUCAAAGUAGGCCCUCUGCUGGGCAAAGACUUCUUAGCGGGAUAAACGGUGUUUUAGCCGUAAUAAAUGAGGCAAUAACAGGUCUGUGAUGCCCUUAGAUACUCUAGGCCGCACGCGUGCUACACUGGUAAAGGCAGCAUGCUUAAUUUGAACAAUUGCUUCGAAUUUCUAUCAAUCUUCUGCGUAUAUGUGAGGGUUUUACGAUCUGAUCGUGUGCGUUAGUUGGUUGGUGUGAGUCGAGGAUUUUUAAUUGUUCGAAAAAACCUUGGCUGAAAAGCCUGGGCAAUCCUUUGAAACUUUACCGUGAUUUGGGAUUGGGAAUUGCAAUUGUUUUCCAUGAACGAGGAAUCCCCAGUAAGCGCAAU
rnacentral:rRNA from 1 species